UACGGAGGGUGCUAACGUUGUUCGGAAUUACUGGGCAUAAAGCGCACGUAGGCGGUCUGCUAAGUCGGUUGUGAAAGCCCCCGGCUCAACCGGGGAAUUGCGUUCGAUACUGGCAGGCUAGAGGACGGUUGGGGUGAGUGGAACUCCAGGUGGAGCGGUGAAAUGCGUAGAUAUCUGGAGGAACACCGGUGGCGAAAGCGGCUCACUGGACCGUAACUGACGCUAAUGUGCGAAAGCUAGGGGAGCAAACGGG
rnacentral:rRNA from 1 species